AAGACGGAAUAUAAGGAUAUGUAGAGUCUAGAGAAGUGGAAUUCCAGCGUAGAAUGCAAAUAGUGUAGACUUGACUUGAGUAUUAGAGAUGUUUUUCUCAAGCAAAGGAAGACCACAUAUUUGACGGAUCAAAUAAAUAUUAAAAUUGGAACAUUAAAAUAGAGAUAAUGUUUAUCCGUUAUCCUGGUCAACAAGGUUUAUCCUGUAUUAUCAGUC
rnacentral:lncRNA from 1 species